rnacentral:lncRNA from 1 species
GUCCUUAUGAAAGCUAAUCACAUAGCCUUCUUGUGCUAAACAUGAAACAGAAAUCAAAUUUUUGCUUGUUGCAGGCACAUAAUAACAGUCUCUUAAAACUAAAUCUAAUCCUAACGGUAAUCGCAGAGGGUAGGUUCCGACGGCCACGACAGCAACUCUUGCUCCGUUCCUAAUGUGUAGGAUCAUCUCCCCAUCCCUCAGCCUCCUGCUCUCCUCAAGAUCCUGCAUAGAAGUGCACAAAUGAGCACUAGAACCAGAGUCAAGUACCCAACUGGAUGCAGAAGAAAU